AGCAGCCGCGGUAAUUCCAGCUCCAAUAGCGUAUAUUAAAGUUGUUGCAGUUAAAAAGCUCGUAGUUGAAUUUCGGGACCAAUAUGUCGGUCGUGCCUCGGUAUGUACUGGCAUCGUUGGUCUCUCCCUUCUGACGAACCAUGAUGUCAUUUAUUUGGUGUCGUGGGGAAUCAGGACUGUUACUUUGAAAAAAUUAGAGUGUUUAAAGCAGGCUCACGCUUGAAUACAUUAGCAUGGAAUAAUGAAAUAGGACGUUUGAUUCUAUUUUGUUGGUUUCUAGGAUCGACGUAAUGAUUAAUAGGGAUAGUUGGGGGCAUUAGUAUUCAAUUGUCAGAGGUGAAAUUCUUGGAUUUAUUGAAGACUAACUACUGCGAAAGCAUUUGCCAAGGAUGUUUUCAUUAAUCAAGAACGAAAGUUAGGGGAUCGAAGACGAUCAGAUACCGUCGUAGUCUUAACCAUAAACUAUGCCGACUAGGGAUCGAAUGAUGUUAAUUUUUUAAUGA
rnacentral:sRNA from 1 species